UUAAGCCAUGCAUGUCUAAGUACAAGCCGCUAUGCGGCGAAACCGCGAAUGGCUCAUUAAAUCAGUUAUGGUUCCUUAGAUCGUACCAUCCUACUUGGAUAACUGUGGUAAUUCUAGAGCUAAUACAUGCAAACAAGCUUCUUUGAGCUGAUCGCACGGUCUCGAACCGGCGACGCAUCUUUCAAAUGUCUGCCUUAUCAACUGUCGAUGGUAGGUUAUGCGCCUACCAUGGUUGCAACGGGUAACGGGGAAUCAGGGUUCGAUUCCGGAGAGGGAGCCUGAGAAACGGCUACCACAUCCAAGGAAGGCAGCAGGCGCGCAAAUUACCCACUCCCGGCACGGGGAGGUAGUGACGAAAAAUAACGAUACGGGACUCUUCCGAGGCCCCGUGAUUGGAAUGAGUACACUUUAAAUCCUUUAACGAGGACCUAUUGGAGGGCAAGUCUGGUGCCAGCAGCCGCGGUAACUCCAGCUCCAAUAGCGUAUAUUAAAGUUGUUGCGGUUAAAAAGCUCGUAGUUGGAUUCCGGUCGCGGCCGGGUGGUGC
rnacentral:rRNA from 1 species